ACGGAGGAUCCAAGCGUUAUCCGGAUUUAUUGGGUUUAAAGGGUGCGUAGGCGGGACAAUAAGUCAGUGGUGAAAUCUUCCAGCUUAACUGGGAAACUGCCAUUGAUACUGUUGUUCUUGAGUUUGGUUGAAGUAGGCGGAAUGAGGCAUGUAGCGGUGAAAUGCAUAGAUAUGCCUCAGAACACCAAUUGCGAAGGCAGCUUACUAAGCCAAUACUGACGCUGAGGCACGAAAGCGUGGGGAGCGAACAGG
rnacentral:rRNA from 1 species